CCGAGGGAAAGUUCUCCCUGAGAGCUUUUCAUUUGGUGCGUUGGCCGGGAAAGGAGAUCCUCCACCCAGGGACCACCGACCACCCACUGGGAGGUAAGCCGGCCGGCGUCUGUCUGAUUCUGUCUCGUUCUGCCUUAUUCUGUCUGUUCUGUGAGCGCUCAGCCAGGUCUGUUCUGUGAGCGCUCAGCCAGGUCUGUUCUGUGAGCGCUCAGCCAGGUUCUGUGAGUGCUCAGCCAGGUCUGUUCUGUGGGCACUCAGCCAGGUCUGUUCUGUGAGCGCUCAGCCAGGUCUGUUCUGUGAGCGCUCAGCCAGGUUGUUUGGAAUUUGGGCGGGACGAAGAAGGAGCUGACGAGCUCGGACUUCUCGCCCCGCAGCCCUGGAAGACGUUCCAAGGGUGUUAGGGGCCCGACUUUUCGGAGCCCAAUCUGGGAGAGGAGAAAGAUCCGGACUAACGGCACCUCUGUCUGUAUUUUUGGCUUUCAGAGGGCCCCGGACCUUUGCCACCUCCAUCUGACUUUUUGCUUUCAGUUUGGUACCAAAGCCGUG
ensembl:lncRNA